GUCGAGGGGUAACAGAGUAGCUUGCUACUGCUGACGACCGGCGCACGGGUGCGUAACGCGUAUAGAAUCUACCUUUAGCUGAGGGAUAGCCCAGAGAAAUUUGGAUUAAUACCUCAUAGUAUGCAGGCUUCACAUGAGGAUUGUAUUAAAGGUUACGGCUAAAGAUGACUAUGCGUCCUAUUAGCUAGAUGGUAAGGUAACGGCUUACCAUGGCAACGAUAGGUAGGGGCCCUGAGAGGGGGAUCCCCCACACUGGUACUGAGACACGGACCAGACUCCUACGGGAGGCAGCAGUGAGGAAUAUUGGACAAUGGAGGCAACUCUGAUCCAGCCAUGCCGCGUGCAGGAUGACUGCCCUAUGGGUUGUAAACUGCUUUUAUACAGGAAGAAACAUCUCUACGUGUAGAGACUUGACGGUACUGUAAGAAUAAGGAUCGGCUAACUCCGUGCCAGCAGCCGCGGUAAUACGGAGGAUCCAAGCGUUAUCCGGAAUCAUUGGGUUUAAAGGGUCCGUAGGUGGAUAAUUAAGUCAGAGGUGAAAGUUUGCAGCUCAACUGUAAAAUUGCCUUUGAUACUGGUUAUCUUGAAUCAUUAUGAAGUAGUUAGAAUAUGUAGUGUAGCGGUGAAAUGCAUAGAUAUUACAUAGAAUACCAAUUGCGAAGGCAGAUUACUAAUAAUGUAUUGACACUGAUGGACGAAAGCGUGGGGAGCGAACAGGAUUAGAUACCCUGGUAGUCCACGCCGUAAACGAUGGAUACUAGCUGUUCGGAACUUGUUU
rnacentral:rRNA from 1 species